GCUGCUGUAGCUCAGUGGUAGAGCACCUCAUUGGUAAUGAGGAGGUCGACAGUUCAAUCCUGUCCAGCAGCA
rfam:Methylobacterium sp. Leaf93 contig_3, whole genome shotgun sequence.